AUUGAACGCUGGCGGCAUGCCUUACACAUGCAAGUCGAACGGCAGCAUGGGUGCUUGCACCUGAUGGCGAGUGGCGAACGGGUGAGUAAUGCAUCGGAACGUACCCGGAAGUGGGGGAUAACGUAGCGAAAGUUACGCUAAUACCGCAUAUUCUGUGAGCAGAAAAGCGGGGGAUCGCAAGACCUCGCGCUUCCGGAGCGGCCGAUGUCGGAUUAGCUAGUUGGCGGGGUAAAGGCCCACCAAGGCAACGAUCCGUAGCGGGUCUGAGAGGAUGAUCCGCCACACUGGGACUGAGACACGGCCCAGACUCCUACGGGAGGCAGCAGUGGGGAA
rnacentral:rRNA from 1 species